rnacentral:rRNA from 1 species
UACGUAGGUGGCAAGCGUUAUCCGGAAUUACUGGGCGUAAAGCGUGCGCAGGCGGUUCGUUAAGUCAGAUGUGAAAGCCCCGGGCUCAACCUGGGAACUGCAUUUGAAACUGGCGGGCUUGAGUAUGGCAGAGGGGGGUGGAAUUCCGCGUGUAGCAGUGAAAUGCGUAGAGAUGCGGAGGAACACCGAUGGCGAAGGCAGCCCCCUGGGCCAAUACUGACGCUCAGGCACGAAAGCGUGGGGAGCAAACAGG